rnacentral:rRNA from 1 species
UUGAACGCUGGCGGCAUGCCUUACACAUGCAAGUCGAACGGCAGCACGGGUGCUUGCACCUGGUGGCGAGUGGCGAACGGGUGAGUAAUACAUCGGAACAUGUCCUGUAGUGGGGGAUAGCCCGGCGAAAGCCGGAUUAAUACCGCAUACGAUCUACGGAUGAAAGCGGGGGACCUUCGGGCCUCGCGCUAUAGGGUUGGCCGAUGGCUGAUUAGCUAGUUGGUGGGGUAAAGGCCUACCAAGGCGACGAUCAGUAGCUGGUCUGAGAGGACGACCAGCCACACUGGGACUGAGACACGGCCCAGACUCCUACGGGAGGCAGCAGUGGGGAAUUUUGGACAAUGGGCGAAAGCCUGAUCCAGCAAUGCCGCGUGUGUGAAGAAGGCCUUCGGGUUGUAAAGCACUUUUGUCCGGAAAGAAAUCCUUGACCCUAAUACGGUCGGGGGAUGACGGUACCGGAAGAAUAAGCACCGGCUAACUACGUG